rnacentral:rRNA from 1 species
CCUACGGGAGGCAGCAGUGGGGAAUAUUGGACAAUGGGCGAAAGCCUGAUCCAGCCAUGCCGCGUGUGUGAAGAAGGCCUUCGGGUUGUAAAGCACUUUCAGUGGGGAAGAAAGCCUUGGGGCUAAUACCCUCGAGGAAGGACAUCACCCACAGAAGAAGCACCGGCUAACUCCGUGCCAGCAGCCGCGGUAAUACGGAGGGUGCGAGCGUUAAUCGGAAUUACUGGGCGUAAAGCGCGCGUAGGCGGUCUGAUAAGCCGGUUGUGAAAGCCCCGGGCUCAACCUGGGAACGGCAUCCGGAACUGUCAGGCUAGAGUGCAUGAGAGGAAGGUAGAAUUCCCGGUGUAGCGGUGAAAUGCGUAGAGAUCGGGAGGAAUACCAGUGGCGAAGGCGGCCUUCUGGACUGACACUGACGCUGAGGUGCGAAAGCGUGGGUAGCAAACAGGAUUAGAUACCCCUGUAGUC